rnacentral:rRNA from 1 species
AACGAACGCUGGCGGCAUGCCUAACACAUGCAAGUCGAACGAUACCUUCGGGUCUAGUGGCUCACGUGUGCGUAACGCGUGGGAACCUGCCUUUAUGUUCGGAAUAACUCAGAGAAAUAUGACCUAAUACCUGAUGCUAUUUUUGGACCUAAGAUUUAUUCCCUUUGGCUGGGCCCGCGUGGUCUUAUCUUGUUGGUUGGGUAAGCGGCCACCAAGGCGAGGAUGCAUAGCUGGUCUGAGAGGAUGACCAGCCACACUGGGGCUGAGACGCGGCCCAGACUGGUAGGGGAGGGAGCAGAGGGGAAUAUUGGACAAUGGGGGAAAGCCUGAUCCAGCAAUGCCGCGUGAGUGAUGAAGGCCUUAGUGUUGUAAAGCUCUUUUAGCCGAGAUGAUAAUGACAGUAUCGGGAGAAUAAGCUCCGGCUAACUACGUG